rnacentral:piRNA from 1 species
UCGCCAUGCUCACCCUCAAAUACAUGUUCCA